GGGUUGUGAGGUUAAGCGACUAAGCGUACACGGUGGAUGCCCUGGCAGUCAGAGGCGAUGAAGGACGUGCUAAUCUGCGAUAAGCGCCGGUAAGGUGAUAUGAACCGUUAUAACCGGCGAUUUCCGAAUGGGGAAACCCAGUGUGAUUCGUCACACUAUCAUUAACUGAAUCCAUAGGUUAAUGAGGCGAACCGGGGGAACUGAAACAUCUAAGUACCCCGAGGAAAAGAAAUCAACCGAGAUUCCCCCAGUAGCGGCGAGCGAACGGGGAGGAGCCCAGAGCCUGAAUCAGCAUGUGUGUUAGUGGAAGCGUCUGGAAAGGCGCGCGAUACAGGGUGACAGCCCCGUACACAAAAGCGCAUGUGCUGUGAGCUCGAUGAGUAGGGCGGGACACGUGGUAUCCUGUCUGAAUAUGGGGGGACCAUCCUCCAAGGCUAAAUACUCCUGACUGACCGAUAGUGAACCAGUACCGUGAGGGAAAGGCGAAAAGAACCCCGGCGAGGGGAGUGAAAAAGAACCUGAAACCGUGUACGUACAAGCAGUGGGAGCACAGGUUUACCUGUGUGACUGCGUACCUUUUGUAUAAUGGGUCAGCGACUUAUAUUCUGUAGCAAGGUUAACCGAAUAGGGGAGCCGGAGGGAAACCGAGUCUUAAUUGGGCGUUAAGUUGCAGGGUAUAGACCCGAAACCCGGUGAUCUAGCCAUGGGCAGGUUGAAGGUUGGGUAACACUAACUGGAGGACCGAACCGACUAAUGUUGAAAAAUUAGCGGAUGACCUGUGGCUGGGGGUGAAAGGCCAAUCAAACCGGGAGAUAGCUGGUUCUCCCCGAAAGCUAUUUAGGUAGCGCCUCGUGAAUUCAUCUCCGGGGGUAGAGCACUGUUUCGGCUAGGGGGCCAUCCCGGCUUACCAACCCGAUGCAAACUGCGAAUACCGGAGAAUGUUAUCACGGGAGACACACGGCGGGUGCUAACGUCCGUCGUGAAGAGGGAAACAACCCAGACCGCCAGCUAAGGUCCCAAAGUCAUGGUUAAGUGGGAAACGAUGUGGGAAGGCCCAGACAGCCAGGAUGUUGGCUUAGAAGCAGCCAUCAUUUAAAGAAAGCGUAAUAGCUCACUGGUCGAGUCGGCCUGCGCGGAAGAUGUAACGGGGCUAAACCAUGCACCGAAGCUGCGGCAGCGACGCUGAUGCGUUGUUGGGUAGGGGAGCGUUCUGUAAGCCUGCGAAGGUGACCUGUGAGGGUUGCUGGAGGUAUCAGAAGUGCGAAUGCUGACAUAAGUAACGAUAAAGCGGGUGAAAAGCCCGCUCGCCGGAAGACCAAGGGUUCCUGUCCAACGUUAAUCGGGGCAGGGUGAGUCGACCCCUAAGGCGAGGCCGAAAGGCGUAGUCGAUGGGAAACGGGUUAAUAUUCCCGUACUUGGUGUUACUGCGAAGGGGGGACGGAGAAGGCUAUGUUGGCCGGGCGACGGUUGUCCCGGUUUAAGCGUGUAGGUGUGUGUUCCAGGUAAAUCCGGUUCACUUUAACACUGAGGCGUGAUGACGAGGCACUACGGUGCUGAAGCAACAAAUGCCCUGCUUCCAGGAAAAGCCUCUAAGCAUCAGGUAACAUCAAAUCGUACCCCAAACCGACACAGGUGGUCAGGUAGAGAAUACCAAGGCGCUUGAGAGAACUCGGGUGAAGGAACUAGGCAAAAUGGUGCCGUAACUUCGGGAGAAGGCACGCUGACACGUAGGUGAAGUGAUUUACUCAUGGAGCUGAAGUCAGUCGAAGAUACCAGCUGGCUGCAACUGUUUAUUAAAAACACAGCACUGUGCAAACACGAAAGUGGACGUAUACGGUGUGACGCCUGCCCGGUGCCGGAAGGUUAAUUGAUGGGGUCAGCGCAAGCGAAGCUCCUGAUCGAAGCCCCGGUAAACGGCGGCCGUAACUAUAACGGUCCUAAGGUAGCGAAAUUCCUUGUCGGGUAAGUUCCGACCUGCACGAAUGGCGUAAUGAUGGCCAGGCUGUCUCCACCCGAGACUCAGUGAAAUUGAACUCGCUGUGAAGAUGCAGUGUACCCGCGGCAAGACGGAAAGACCCCGUGAACCUUUACUAUAGCUUGACACUGAACAUUGAGCCUUGAUGUGUAGGAUAGGUGGGAGGCUUUGAAGUGUGGACGCCAGUCUGCAUGGAGCCGACCUUGAAAUACCACCCUUUAAUGUUUGAUGUUCUAACGUGGACCCGUAAUCCGGGUUGCGGACAGUGUCUGGUGGGUAGUUUGACUGGGGCGGUCUCCUCCUAAAGAGUAACGGAGGAGCACGAAGGUUGGCUAAUCCUGGUCGGACAUCAGGAGGUUAGUGCAAUGGCAUAAGCCAGCUUGACUGCGAGCGUGACGGCGCGAGCAGGUGCGAAAGCAGGUCAUAGUGAUCCGGUGGUUCUGAAUGGAAGGGCCAUCGCUCAACGGAUAAAAGGUACUCCGGGGAUAACAGGCUGAUACCGCCCAAGAGUUCAUAUCGACGGCGGUGUUUGGCACCUCGAUGUCGGCUCAUCACAUCCUGGGGCUGAAGUAGGUCCCAAGGGUAUGGCUGUUCGCCAUUUAAAGUGGUACGCGAGCUGGGUUUAGAACGUCGUGAGACAGUUCGGUCCCUAUCUGCCGUGGGCGCUGGAGAACUGAGGGGGGCUGCUCCUAGUACGAGAGGACCGGAGUGGACGCAUCACUGGUGUUCGGGUUGUCAUGCCAAUGGCACUGCCCGGUAGCUAAAUGCGGAAGAGAUAAGUGCUGAAAGCAUCUAAGCACGAAACUUGCCCCGAGAUGAGUUCUCCCUGAGACUUAGAGUCUCCUGAAGGAACGUUGAAGACGACGACGUUGAUAGGCCGGGUGUGUAAGCGCAGCGAUGCGUUGAGCUAACCGGUACUAAUGAACCGUGAGGCUUAACCUUACAACGCCGAAG
rnacentral:rRNA from 1 species